GACGAACGCUGGCGGCGUGCUUAACACAUGCAAGUCGAACGGAAAGGCCUUUUCGGAGGUACUCGAGUGGCGAACGGGUGAGUAACACGUGGGUGAUCUGCCCUGCACUCUGGGAUAAGCCUGGGAAACUGGGUCUAAUACCGGAUAGGACCGCACUUUAGUGUGUGUGGUGGAAAGUUUUUUCGGUGUAGGAUGAGCCCGCGGCCUAUCAGCUUGUUGGUGGGGUAAUGGCCUACCAAGGCGGCGACGGGGAGCCGGACUGAGAGGUUGGUCGGCCACAUUGGGACUGGGAUACGGCCCAGACUCCUACGGGAGGCAGCAGUGGGGAAUAUUGCACAAUGGGCGCAAGCCUGAUGCAGCGACGCCGCGUGGGGGAUGACGGCCUUCGGGUUGUAAACUCCUUUCGCCAGGGACGAAGCGUUUUGUGACGGUACCUGGAGAAGAAGCACCGGCUAACUACGUG
rnacentral:rRNA from 1 species